AGACGUUCUCGGGGCAGGGUGGAAUUCCCUACCGGCGGUGUUGGUGGCUUUGGCUGCCUCAGCCCGCGAGCGCCCUGCAUCCGUGCAGGGGACAAGCAGACCCGGUGUGAAUCCGGGGCCGACGGUCAGAGUCCGGAUGAGAGAGAACGUUC
rfam:Saccharibacter sp. AM169, AM168, WGS project CBLY01000000 data, contig: NODE_4